CAGAUUCUGAUUCAGAAUCUGAAUCUGAACCAAGUGAUGAGAGCGAAGAAUCAUCACCUGCAGAGAAGGAGAAGAAAAAGAAAAAAACAAAAACAACACCAAAAAAAACACAACCAAAAAAGAAAAAAGUUGUUGUAGAGGAUUCACCUCCUAAAGAAGAUCAAUACUUUGACGGGUACAGUACAUCGUAAGCUAUAUUACCGUCUAUCAUCGUAAUUAUUUUUGUUAACGUCUUCUUUUAUGAAUGUAGUGAGACAUAUGAAAUAUCAAGUGACGAACUAGAUGAAUGGUUAAGGAAAAAUGUUGAUAAAUCUGCUGCAGAGGGGUAUGUCUUGC